CACCACAGCCAUAUCACCUUGCAGCCCGAGAGCAGUUACUCAAAGCUGAGCAGGGCUGAGCCCGGUCAGUACCUUGAUGGGAGGCCACAUGGGAAAACUAGGCUGUUGUUGGAA
ensembl:rRNA 5S_rRNA 5S ribosomal RNA